rnacentral:misc_RNA from 1 species
UUUCCGUAGGUGAACCUGCGGAAGGAUCAUUAUUGUAUAACCGAGGUGCGAGGGCUGCCGCUCACCCGAAAGGUCGUGCACGCCCGAGUGCCCUCACACACAUCCAUCUCACCCCUAUCUGCACCACCGCGUGGGUCCCCCUUUGGCUUGUUCGGAGGGGGGCUUACGUUUUCACACAAACUUUGUAUGCAGUGUAGAAUGUAUUUUUUGUUUUUGCGAUCACGCAAUCAAUACAACUUUCAACAACGGAUCUCUUGGCUCUC